CACCUGAGCAGCAACACUUGUGACCUCCACUGACUGGUUGUAGCUGUGGUCCGGUGCACAGAAGAGUGCACCUCUGCUGCAUUUGCAAUAAAAAGCUGACCAACGCAGAAUGAAACUUAAAGGGAAGUUGGUGCCGGAGACAAAGAGAAACCUGUGCAUGGAUCUUCUCUCUUGAUUUGUUGCAGGGAGGCUGCAGGGAGUCACUGAGCUCAAAGGAGUGUGUAGCUACGGCACAACAAGCAGUUUCUUUGAGCCGAAUAUAAAAGUGACGGAGCUUUAUGUGCAGUCAUCACUUCAAACCUGUCAGAGGAUGUACUUCCUGAGGCAGCUGAAGAAAUUCAACCUGCCAACACGGACGAUGAUGCAGUUCUACACUGCAAUCAUCGAGUCCAUCCUCACCUCCUCCAUCACCGUGUGGUACGCUGGAGCCACUAUCAGGGACAAACAGAGACUGCAGCGUGUUGUGCGCUCUGCUGAGAAGGUGAUUGGCUGUCACUCUAAAAAGUAAUUAAUGGGAUCUUUAGUCAUUACUUACAUAUAUAUGUUGUUGUGAAAUGAAAAAUCAAGUUCAUAAAUACUGUUAGACUUCCUAAUUAAAAUUUUUAUUUUAUUGAGUUCGGGUGACACAUAAAUGAUGCCUCUUUACUCAAUAUAUAAUCGUGAUUUGUCUGAAUUUAAAAUCUUCUUUUAAUCAAAAAACAAUAUAAUUUUAAGUUCUGUCGAUGUAAAAUACAACUUGAUGACGUGUAAACAGCUCACAGUUCCCUUCUUCUACACAAGCGGACAUAUUCAACAGCACAUGUUCAAGGUUUAUCAAGAGCUGUGUUCAUCGCGAACGGUGAGUAAUUUUAUGCGAAAUUACACAUAUCUGCAGUCGCUCUGGAUUUUGUUAGUUUACUUUAAAACAACGACGUAACAUACAUAACAUACAUCUUAGCUUGCCCCCGCGUUUGUGUGAAAGGCUAGAAGACCUUCAGUCUAGAUCGAGAAGGAGAAGGAGAAGAGGGCAGUUCGGUAAUGAGCUUUGUUGAAAAUGUGAUCAGAAGAGAGAGGCUAAUACCUGAUGGCACUGACCCACAAAUACAACGGGCUCACCGAUCCCUCGGUCCUAAGCCAGGUGCUGAUGCCGCUCUCCGUUCCAUUGUCGUCUGUUUUCUUCCGUUCAAAACAAAGGAAACCGUCCUCAGAAACGCAUGGCAGAAGAAGAUCCUCGUCAAAGACAAACCCAUCGAUUUUGACCAUGAUUAUACUGCCACGGUAGUACAACAGCGCCGUGCACAUAGAGAAGUGAAAAGCGCACUUAAACAAAAGGGCAUACGAUUCCAAUUCUCUCCAGGGUUUAAUUAGAGCCCCCGGGCUCGGUGUGAAUAAUGCAGCACCUGAGCGCACCUGAGCGGCCUGCUCGAGCAGAACGAGGAGCCGCAGGGAGGCCGAGAGAGCACCACCUCCAGAGGGAGAGAGAGGGUGGUGAAAGGGUUUGAAAGAGUAACAUCAUAACAUCUGAAGGUUUUCAUGUCACUCUAAUGAUGUCCUGACAGAACCACGAGGGGCAUCAGAAACAUCUGUGUCACACCUGUCCAUCACUACAUCUGUGUUAGUGACACUGCUGGAAGAAUCCAGAUUGCUUUGAUUAUUGUUUCCUUCCAUUUUGUUUGCACUAACACUGCAAGCAUCAGACUAAAUCAUACUUAGUAUGUAUGACCCCACAGUACCAUAUCACCCUAUUAGAGCACUUCGCUCUCGCUCUGCAGGCCUACUUGUUGUUCCUAGAGUAUUUAACAGUAGAAUGGGAGGCAGAACCUUCAGUUUUCAGGCCCCUCUUCUGUGGAACCAGCUUCCAGUUUGGAUUCAGGAGACAGACGCUAUCUCUAAUUUCAAGAUUAGGCUUCAAACUUUCCUUUUUGCUAAAGCAUAUAGUUAGGGCUGGACCAGGUGACCCUGAAUCCUCCCUUAGUUAUGCUGCAAUAGACGUAGGCUGCCGGGGAUUCCCAUGAUGCAUUGAGUUUUUCUUCUUCACUCACUAUGUAUUAACAGACCUCUCUACACUGAAUCAUAUCUGUUAUUAACCUCUGUCUCUCUUCCACAGCAUGUCUUUAUCCUGUCUUCCUUCUCUCACCCCAACCAAUCACAGCAGAUGGCCCCGCCCCUCCCUGAGCCUGGUUCUGCUGGAGGUUUCUUCCUGUUAAAAGGGAGUUUUUCCUUCCCACUGUCGCCAAAGUGCUGCUCACAUGUCAUUGUUGGAGUUUCUCUUUUGUCUCUUUAUUAUCAUAAGGUUCUUACUCUACAAUAUAAAGUACCCGGAGGCAACUGUUGUUGUUUUUUCUGUAUAAAUAAAAGUGAACUGAGUUGAAUGUAAUUUGGUUGAACAGGAAAUUCACAUCAUGGAUCUGGAGCAGCUGUGUGAUGAUGUCAUGUCAACAUGGACCAAAACCUCUGAGGGAUGUUUCCAGAAACUUUUUAAAUUUGUGCCACAAAUGACUAAAGCAGAAGAGAGCUCAGACUCAGCUUCACUGUCAUUCAGCCAUUUGACAUGAUAUGAAUGAAAAACAGAUUCUCUGUCCAGGACCUGGGUCUGAGCGACCCAGGGUCCAUGAGCAUUUAUGACUCUUGUUAUAUGAUAUGUGUUUGUUUCUGCAUUGUGCUGCUGUUCCUGUGUCUAUGAUGUUGGAGACCUCACCUGCUCAACCGCCUGCCAUAACCACGCCACCAUCACUUUACCUACCUGUUGCUGCUGCAUCACCGUCCAAUCUACCCCCAGUGGCUGCUACACCACCAUCAUUUCCACUGCCUGCAGCUGCCACACCAGCACGGCCUGCGUGUCACAAACCACCUGCAGUGCUUCGCCAUGGGCCAUCGGAGCUCUUACGUGGCUGGACCUACUACAAGGCUGUCAUCAGAUCACUGGCCGGCCACCAGAACUGCUAUGCCACAGCUGCCAGACCUGUGGCAGGCCGCUCGAGCUGUUUUCCUGCCGUCACCGUCCAUCGGGCCAGCUGCCAAAACUGUGGCAGAACUGUGGUUGAUUUUUUCAGUUUUUUGGGGACUGUUUUGACAGCGCUGCUGGACGUGCGGUCGGACUUUGAAACCGUUGGGAUUAGGGGCUCUGUUUGCUAGAGGAUUUUGUUUUUGCACGGAGAGUGCGGAGACUCGGGAGCAGAGUACAGACACUUGGGAGAAGGCGCGACACGGGAGUCGUGGGAGCGCACUGGAGAUUUGUUGUGUGUUACAUUUACUUCACUGUAAAUCAACGCACUGUUUACUGCACAGAGUCCAGCAUUUAGGUCCUUUCUCCCCCACAGUCUGCCACACAGACCGUGACAUUCUCAGGUCUCAGUAUUGCAGCAUGCUACCAAACAACGAGUAAAACAUUACAAAUAACUACAAUUAAUAGAACAAGAAAUUCUCAAAAAUAAGUACUGAAAUAUGCAAAAACAUAAAUAACAAUCACAAAUAUAUAAUAUUUAAAUUUGGUUCUUCUUUAUUUUAAUGACUAUUUACAGAUUUUCACUGGAGGCAUCAAAACUAUGGAUGAACACAUGGAAUUAAACCCUCGGCCUUCUCUCAGCGAGCUUCAUGCUGUAGUCACCUGACAUGGUUUCACUUCACAGGUGUGUUAACUCCAAAGCUGGAAUCCUGGAAUUUCUUGCCUUCUGAAUCUGGUUGGGACUAGAAGUCAGGGUGGCACGCAGUAGUGCUGCACGAUAUUAGGAAACCCUGCGAUGUGCGAUAACUGCGAUCAAUAUUGCGAUAACGAUAUGACUUACGAUAAAAUAAAUAGCAAAACAAACAAAAAACCCCGACCACAUAAUUUACGUUUUACUGCAACAGUUUUAUUUAAAGAAAGCUGCCGUAUUAGCAGUGCAACAACAAAGUGCACUUUAACAUUGAAACAUUGCCCCCAUAAAAAUUUUUGGGUCUUCUUUAAGAUCCCAGCUGGCCAGCACCUCACGUAAUACACGGGCUAUAUUUUCACUAGUGUGAGAGUUUGGAAAACACACAGUCUCUAGACACCGUGUUUUCAGUUCAAAGUCUUCGGUGAGGAAGAGCACUGUGAAACUCAUAUAUGGCUCCGUUGUACGACUUGAUCAUAGGUCUGUAGCAUAGUUUUCAGCUUGGCUCAGUUCAAAUGUGACGGUCUUGUGUAGGGCUGGGUAUCGUCCAUGAUUUCUAGAAUGGAUUCGAAUCCGAUUCACAAGGUCCUGAAUCGAUUCGAUACACGAUUCGAUUCAAUUUGAUUCGAUUCGAUUUAAAUCUGGGAAAUUUUGCCUCAGUCAGAUUAUAAUUCAGAUCAGCACAUUUACAUAUUUUUGUAUCUAUAAAAAGGAAGCUGACACACGCAAGACUUUAUCACAGGUGUGAGCGUCACAGCAGAGGCCUUUGUGUCAAAGUAGCUGAAGAUAAAACACAGAAACACAUGAAGGUGGUUUUCCUGGCCUGGAUUUUAUAAAAAUAUUCUGCAGUACAUCAAAAACGAAAGAAAACCAUUAACCAGCUUAUGAACAUUGUCUCUGAAGUUACAGCGGUUUUAUUAGAGACAGCGUUUUGCAUAAUUGUAAAAAGUUUACAUUUGUUCAGAAGCCUGUUGAACGGCAGAAAUUAGGUUUUCUCUUUGGAAGUAAGUAAAAAAAAACAUCGGCCGACAGGCUGUAAACAACAGUAGACUUGUGCGUAACAACCAAGCAAAUAAUGCAGAAAACAGAUUUCGGGGACAGACGGGAAACUGUUCUUGAAGUACAGAGAGAGAGAGAGAGCUGUGCAUGAAGUGUGAUUUUAUCCUGGUGGAAGCAAAACAGCAACAGUCAGAGUGAAUCCAUGACGAUGUUUAUGUGAAGCGUUUGGAUCUUCUUUUGCUGCUGGUUCGGUCAAUAUUGUUUGGAGAGAGAUCAAACUAACAGCUUUAGAAUCUGUGCAAAAACGGCGUGAACACAAAGCGCGGACCCGCCGAAACAUCAGAAUCAGCGAGCUGUCGGCUUUCAGCCCCGAGCGUGUCCGUGCCGUCGGGUGAGAAAGUCACAUCUCACUGAUCCUGAUCCGUCGGCGCUUUGUGUUUACGUCUCUGUGCAGAAUCUGUGUUCCUGCUCUCAUUCACUGUUUUAAAUGUUUGGUGGUUGUCAAAAUUUUGUGAAGUUUCACCUGAGAUUCUGGAAUUUCAGGCAAAAUACAUUUAUAUUAAAAAAAUCAAUUCAGGAUUUUAAUGAAUCGAUAUCACGUUAUCCAAGCCAGAAUCGAUAUUAAUCGAUGAAUCGAUUAUUAAAACCCACCCUAGUCUUGCGGCAUGUUUCGUACAUUUGUGGAAUGGCGACAUGGGAAAAGUAGUUUCCUGAGGGGAUGCGGUAUCUCCGGUCCACUUUAUGUAUCAGACUGGUGAAGCCCUCCCUGCUAACUGUAUUUAUAGGCAUCAUGUCUUUGUCAAAAAAUGUGUAAUGGCCUCUGUUAUUUCUUUGUAGCGCUUCCACGUUUUCUCAUAAGGAGUUCCACUUUAAAAACUCGGAUACAGAGACGGCCGUUGGACUGCGGGGCUCUUUGUCUUAACAUUAGCAACAUUAGCUAGCCCUGUCUUUCUGGAACUCUUCAAACAGUUCUCUGUGGUCGUGUUGAAGAUGAUGGUGGAGUCGUGUUUCCUCUGGUGGUUGCCACGAGUGUUCGGCAAGUUUUGCAGAGCACCUGUGUUUGGAGAACGUCGUCUUUACCAAAUCCAAAGUACCUCCAAAUAAGCGAGGUACUAUUUUUUAGCCACGAGUUCAUAGUCAGUAGCGUUCUCGUCAUGCGUCUCGCUCUCAGCCAUUACAACUCCGACUCGUCGCUGCAGCGUUGUUCGCUCCCCACCUACAUAGGAGGCGGGCCUCUAAUCCAUUUGAUUGGUUAAUGCCGUGAAGGGCUCUGUUCGACUGGUCAAAUGUGUAAAGGGGUUUCUUUGAUUGGCAAAUUCUUUAAAGCAUGUGCGUAAACAUUUUAAGGUACCCAAUUAUCGCAGUUUGCGCCGUCUUUUGCAAUGGGCCCAUCGCACAGGCUGAUAUUGCGAUGACAAUAAAUUUUUUAUUUAUUGUGCAGGCCUAGUACACAGCUGACAGCUCUAUUUGACAACUGUUAGAAUUCAUAUUAUGGCAAGAACCAAUCAGCGAAGGAAACAACAGUCUGUCAUUUCUUUAAGAACUGAAGGUCAGUCAAUCCAGGAAAUUGCAAAAACUUCACAAAAACCAUAAAGCGCUACAAAGAAACUGGCUCACACGAGGACCGCCCCAGGAAAGCAAGAGCCAGAGUCCCCUCUGCUGCUGAGGAUACAUUCAUCCACCAGCCUCAGAAAUCACAAGUUAACAGCUACUCAGAUCAGAGCGCAGAUAAAUGCCACAUAGAGCUCCAGUAACAGACACACUCUACAUCAGCUGUUCAGAGGAGACUGUGUGAAUCAGGCCUUUAUGGUCAAAUAGCAAGCAGAGGAGAUUAGUUUGGGCCAAGAAACACAGGGAAUGGACAUUAGACCAUCUGUGCUUUGGUGUGAUGAGUCCAAAUCUGAGAUCUUUGGUUCCACAAAGGUGAACGAUGGUCUCUACAUGCAUGGUUCCCACCAUGAAGCAUGGAGAAGGAGUGUCUGGUAGUGUGUGCGCCAGUGAACAUGAACUUUUAAAACUCAAAAUAUUUUUUUAUAUACUGGUUAAAAGUGUUUGUGAAAUACUUUGUUCUUUAUGCUGGACUAACAAACUGCAGUCACAAAGACUGACUGUGAGCACUUUUCGGUGAUUACAGAGUCAUAAUAACGUGUCAUAUAUGAGAUUAUCACCAUGGCAUGACAUCACAUCAUGUAUGUAUUUGCAAUAUUUAAAAAAAACAGCUGACAGUGUGUUUUCAUAUUUUCAUUCUGUGCUUAAAGGGAGAAAGGUUUAUUAUUUCUGCAGUAUUGCUGUCAUUGCUUUUAUCUAUAGUUUUUUUGUUGUUGUUGAGAAUAACAGAGUGAGUCAGACUGCAGGAUGAACACUGAGCUGUUUGUGCCCCCCAGUGGUCUUUGACCACAACGUGCUUCCAGUGAAUUCCCGAAUCCAAGCUGUGUGUCAUCAGCAGCCACUCCACCUUAAAACUGACUUCACGUAUAAAACUUGGGUCAUUUAUUUAAGAAUUUGCACCAUAUCCAG
ensembl:lncRNA